ensembl:lncRNA
GGUCCUCCAGCACUACUUUGGCCAGCAGCAGCAGCAGUGGUUGUGUUCUAUCCAGGAGGAGGUGUAUGUACUGUCCUGCCUCGCCCCCAAGGGCUCUUGCUGUGUCCAGAACACUACUGGGAUUACCAAGAACCCAGCAGAUGUGGUAAUCUUCGCCUCUCAUCUGGAUGCUUCAGGACUUUUACUUAUAAUUCAUUACACCAGAACAUCUUCCAAAUAUUCAAAAUCCUUUUUAUAUGAUAACAAGACUAAUAACCUAUUUAGUGGAAUGGAAAGCACAGGCACAGUACGUAAAACAUAUAAAUCUGUGUUUGUUGAAGGUGUCAAAUGCUUAGAAAUGUAUGCAGAAAAUUGCUGGUCUGCUUCACGUGAGGGUUAUGAGGACACCUCUGAAAAGCCCCAGUUCAUCACUGGGCAAGACCAGAGUUUGUAAAUCUCACUCAUCUGGACCAUUUUAAUUUGUCAUGUACUCCUUUUGCAGAAGCACGUUGAAUUUGGCCAGAGUCAUACUCCACAGUUUUUGGUUAGCCAUGAUCUUAGUACAGAAAAGGAUGGUCGUUCUUGAGGAAAUGGAGCGUCCAGAACUGAAUGUGUGACUUUGCUCUUUGGGUGGAGAAUUAUUUGCAGGACUGUUAUCAUACAACUCGUGCUUCAGGAAAGGCAAACUGGCAGUUCUUUGGGAGCGGACUGCACAACUGCUUUGCAGUUGAAAUACUAAGGUCUGAUCUAAAGGCCAUCUUGCUAGCUGGGCUGGCUGGAGCUAGCUGCAGCUCUGCUGGUGGAAACCCACCAUAGCUCAUACCUGAAACCCACCAAAGCCCUCACA